UCUGCCGUGACCGGUUGGGGUGAGAGAAGGAAGACAGUGAGAACCUGUAAAAUCACACACUCAUAUCACAGAUGAAGAGCUCAGCAAUGUCAUUUCUGCUUCUUCUUCCUUCUGCUUCAUAUGUUUCACGUAUCAGAUAAUAGUGUUCAUGCCAGCUGACACAGUUUAUUAAAUCUUGUGAAGACAGUCUUUUAAAAACAAUCUCAGCUCUCAUUAAUGACUCCUGAUGAUGAUCUAUUAAAAUAAUUAUCUUGUCUUCAGAGCUGUUCACUCGCACAUUUAGGAAGCAGGAAUGCACUGAGUCAUGUUCUCUUUGUACCGGCGUGAUCAUCAGGAUCAGGAUGAUUUCCUGUUUUAUGGCACUCUGAGAGUUCUCAGUCAGAAAUUCACCUAAAUGAUCUGCAGUCGUGCAGCUCGAGCCGCCAGCAGCAGGCUGUAAUGGCUGCUGUUGACGGCGGUACUGGCAUGCUCGAGCUCUGAAUUGGAUUCAUCCGCAAACACAAAGUGACGGAUGGCGUUCCGCAGGGCUCUGUGCCGGGAAAUGUACUACAGAGACAUCCUGCCUCAGAGUGAUGCUAGAAGUGAAUUAACCUUGAAUAAUCAGGCCCAAUCUUAUCUCAAUCACCCCAGAGCACUUCACUCUCACGCUGCAGUUUGGAUUCAGAAACUGCUUCAUAUUUCCUUCUUAAAGCUCAGCUGAUCUCCUCUAUGAUUGCUCUGAUUGUGUUUUUCUUCCCCGCUGUCGACAAGUGCUGUUCAACAGGGAAUUGGUGGCUUGAUAUCAGGUCUUGACCUUAGUAGUAAACGUGCUCUGAGAAGAUUUGAUUAUGAUGUGUCGCUAAAUGAAUAAAACUGGAUUAAGCUUGACGUGGACAGAAUUUUAAAGUGCAAAAAGGAAACGAGCUUUUAGCUUUCCUAUUUGUGAAAAAAGAAUAACAGUGCUUUGCAUUCAUUAUGAGCUGUUAUUUCACUGUUUUUAUAACAGAAAAAAUACAAAUGUUCGUUGUAUAAUGUGUGUGUGUGGUGACUUGAAAUUCCUCACCAGUUAAAAAGGCAAAGCUGUUAAAAGCACCCCUGUUUUGUUCCAGGUACAUGUAAAAUAACUGUAUCUAAACUUCUACAGAAAGCCGUGUUAAAUAUUUGGGAGCCUUUGUAAACCUAGCUAACUCGCUACGUGCUUGUCUUCCUGCCACCUAACAGACAGUCAAACAUAUGGAGGAAGGAAGGAAGGCUUACCCCGACUCUGUGUUUCUGUCUGUCAUGCAGUCUGAUCACAGAGCAGAAGGAGAGCGGUGGCCAACUGUAAUGUGGAUUAAGGUCCUGAAAGAGUGUGUGCCACUCGCCAAGGCCCCGCUGUUCCAGCAUGACGAGCUUAAAGUCAAAGCCCUGCAGCCAAACUAUAUCUGUUUGAGCAGAAGGUUCAUCCUUUCAAACCUCCCAUCUUCCUAAAUUAGGGUGAUGAGUGAGGUGCCGGCUCAGCGAUUAAUGCCACCUAAUCUCAUUAAACACCUUAAAGCCAACAGUGAAUAUUAUCAUUUCCCAGCACAUUUGUGUUUCUUUUUCUUUUUGCCAUGUAUGUAGCAGGAUCUGAUGAAAGGGAAGGGUAGCGUUUGUUUUCAGCUCAACCACAGAAACACAAUCCUCUUGCAGCACUGUUGAUAUCUUUUUUUCCCAAAUAGCCAGAAAAGUCAGCUCAUAAUGCACCGCAUUAUUCUGCAGCUCAGAAUCCCCAAAUAUACAGUCUGCUUUAUUCUGCAAAAACACUUGAUUCAGUUUUCUGAUUGCAGUAUCGGCAGAUCACUAACUUUAAGUCUUCUGCUGCUAGUUCGACUGUUACACAGCAAACGCUUUGCUGUGUCAAGCCUCCUGCGCACUUUUGGGUCAUCCUUCAGGACCAAUAAAAAGAAGCCAAGACCUGCAGUUCCUCUGACGGCCAGCAGAGGCAGCAGUGAGUCAGUCCCCAUAGACUCCCAUGUUAAAAUAAACAUGUUUACAGACUGAUACACAAACUGAUUGGCCUCUGUAGAUAAUUACCUCCUUCAUAACACCUGUACGGGGGAGGAUAGCUCAUGUGGUUUUUAUAAUUAACCUGGAUUAAAAUUUGUAUUAUUAGUGGGUGUGGCCUCUGUGACUGACAGGUGAAGCCCUGAACUGGACCUCUGUACCGUGUUUGUGCUGUUUGACCCUUUUGGAGCAUUUUUAAUGACAUCAUGUGACCAAUGAUAUGGCUGCUGUGUGGUCACUGUACUAACUGACUGUCCAAGAAGGCGGAGCUCCAGUUUUGGUGCUUUACCUGGAUCUUCGUUACAGUGUAACUGCUUAUGAAACUGUUACACGUUAAAAUAAAACCUCUUUCCUGUUUUCCUAAUACACUGCUGCUAAAUCUAAUAUGUUCAUGGCUGCUGACGUCUGACGGUAACGAUUUCUUUCUGGAGUGUUUUUGUGUGUUUUCAGGCACAUGCAGCACUCGAGUGACCCCCCAGCAGUGACCCCCCCCUCCUGCCCUCAUGUGCAUUCUGCUUCUCCUUCAAAGUCUCAUCGAGCCGCUGUCCAUCCUCCCUCCCACCUCCUCCUGAUCCUCUCCGCUCUUAGUCAGACACUUGACCCUGUUACCCACAUCAGGAUAAUCGUGCACAUUGGUCUCUGUUAUUCUUCACCCCCCCCCACAAACCAGAUGACGCUACUCAACAAGGGACAGCUUAAGGUCUCAGAAAGACUUUUAAAGACGCCGAUUGAACAGAGACAUGAGGAAAAAAGGCAUGGAGCUCAUGAAAUCCUGGAUGGAAAUCAGUGGAAGAAGGCCGUGAUGCCAGACAUGGCGAUCGUCCCGACCUUCCUGCCAGUCGUGUUUUUGUACAGUUUCACAGCUGUUUGAGCUGCGGCGGGUAUAUCCGUUCAUCAUCGCAGAAAACGUUCUUACCGGAUCCGUAACGUGAAGCAGCAUGAUGCUUGUUCAGGGCUGUGGUGGGAGCGAUAUUUUGAUAUAUUUAUGCACACCUGGGACGGGCUCCAGCUCCCCCCGUGACCCUGAAUUAGAUAAGUGGAAAAAAAUGUCUCCUUUUUCCUUUCAGGGCAAAAGCUGGAACACUCUAGUCUAUAGAUGAGAAAUGAGGUUUCACAGUUGAUGAAAUAAUUAAUAAUAAACUCUUUUUGAGGUGA